CAGGCUCCGACUUCCCCAUCUUGAGAACUCCUAUAGCAUUAAUCUUCCCACUUACUCUUUAAACUCUCGGUGAAGAAGUCCUUAUGCACAUACGCCGGUCUCGCCCCGUUCCCAAAUGCUUCAACACCAGCACUUAACCAAUAUGCAUUGAUUGCAUUUGAAGGGAGGUGGUCACAUGGGAGACAUGCCUUCAGAUUGGAAAACGAACAGUCCAAGGCUUACCAAAGGCAGAAAAUAGAAGCUGUAAGAGAUCACUGUCAUUGCCUCCAUGCCUUGCUUGGAUCACCAGGAUCAGAAUUUGCUUAAAACCUGGCUUCUGUGUGUGCAAGAGAUGCAUUCUCCCAGGUUGACAAGGAAAUGUCCCACCCUUAGAGGACAGAGCUGAGGGGAGAGUCCCUCACCAAGUGGAGCUCCCAGACCCCAGGAGCAUCUUGGGUCUGAAGCAAGGUGAAGGUCAGGCAAGCAAAGGCACUGUGUUUAACUUAGCAAAUGCCAUGGUGAUAUUUGCAGGCACAAUCAUGCAAAUGUUAUUUGCUGUGAGAAAUGCAUUUCCAAAACAGAUGCUUCCCACCAUCUAUCCACUUGGCUGCCUUGAAAUGAAGCAAUUCCUUUCUCAGUCUCCCAGGAGGGUGCUAGUAUGUUGGGGGUCUGGGACUGAGACUUGGCAGGCAAUGUAAAGGAACAGCUAAAAUCCUCGUCUUGGCUGGCAAAGCGGGCUUCUGCCUUGAGCAUGGUAGACCUUGAAUUUGCAGGCUUUGAAGGGCACAAGUCAAUCCCCACCUUCCAGGUUUGCCCUGUGUCCUGACCGAGAAGGGAAGUGGGGCUUUGGGUAGAAACCUUAGUGAACACAGAAUUAGAGCUCAACAAGAGCACUGAGGGACCAAAUAGAUCAGCAAGCAGCUCCCAUCAAUAAGGCAAAAGUAGACGGCUUUCUAGUUGACACUUCUCAGUUCUCCCUGUGUCCUAAGCAGCUUCAUUUUCUUUGGGUGGCUUUAUUUUUGCAGAUCCUUGUGGCAAAACAGGAAUGUUGGGUCAUAGGGGGCUCCCCAGUCCUUAGCUGGUCCAGGUAUCAAAUGGAAAAAUAAAGAAAUCUGAUAGGCAAAGAAACUUA